rnacentral:tRNA from 1 species
ACACCUGUAGUUUAAUAGCUAAAACAAGGGUCCAAGCCCUAAAUUGUAGGUUCGAACCCUACCAGGUGUA